rnacentral:lncRNA from 1 species
GUCCUGCUCCACAUGUUGCGCCCGUUGUGUUGCUUAUGUUAUCAUAAACCCGGUUAAUAUUCUAUUUCGGUAGGUCUCAUGCAUGAUAAGGGAACAGGAUUUUAGUUAUAUAGAAUAUAUCCGUAUCAUCUGUGAAACGGAUAUUUCAUAACGGUCACCCAAAUAGUUAUGGCGUCCGUAAAACUCUCUUAACUUUAAAACCUAUUCCACGUUAUAGAAACAAGUAAAAUAACG